AAUAUUUUACUCUAAAUUAAAGAAAUGGAACUAAAUCAAGAACUUAACGGUUUUCAACUGUUAUUGGGUAAGUUUAUAAACUAAAUACUUCGACAAUUUUUAACAUUGAACAAAUUUCGUUUGAAUAUCUACGUAGAUGCGGCGAUUUUGGCAUUUGAUGACAAUGCUAACCAACAUGAACGGUCAUAUCUUGAAUCAUCGUUCAAUAAACACAAACCUGUUAAACGAUCGACUCCCAAACGAUCUUGGGCGCAAAACGCAUCGUCAACUACCAUUGAAGAAAUACCAAAUAAUCAAUUUGACAAAGUGUCAUCGUGGUUGAACUCGUCAAAUUUCAGUCAGCCUACUGAAUUUACCCAUAACGUCGAUCAGGUACUAAGCAGCGUAACAAGGAAUCCACUACAAUUGAUUAAGCAGAACAAAAAGGCGCACAUUCCAAAGAAAGAACAUGAUCAUUUCCGGAAGAGUUUUAUGUUAUCCACAAGCAGAAAGUGUUUUUCCUCAGACCGUCAAAGGAUGUCUACACAAUACUCUACCGUAGAUAAUUCUUUUGACAAGGUGUCUUCCUGGUUAAUGCGAAAUUCGUUGAAUUCAAUUUAUCCCCAGCAUUUCAGUUCGAUCAAUAGUCAAAGUUUACUACCAAGCAACGCAGAACUUUCUUCCUCAUAUCAUCCAUCUUUGGAUCAUCAAUACGUCCAAGUUCGAGUGCCGAAAGUAAAUCACCUGAACCAAAACUCAGAUUGUAAUGACAUUUUU